AUUUGACACCUAUUAAUAAGUAAACAUCCUGUAAGGUACAUGAAUUAAAGAUCAAACAUGUUAGGUUAUCAGUAGCUGUAUGAUUCUUCCUCUUAAUAAGUUAGUAACUCAUGUAAUUAAACCACUUGGACAUGCAGAAAUGUCACCUGUUGUUAACAAAUUGAUGAAGUCUUUCUAGAUUAAUUAUUAACAUCAUAAACAAGGUAGUGUGAAUCCCUCAGUGGUGUUAAAACUUGAAACUUUUUAUCACAGUGUAAAGUAGCCCAACAUAUCUUGUCAAGUUGUUCAUAUAUGCACCACGAAGCCAUUUAAUUAAGUACCAAGCCA
rnacentral:lncRNA from 1 species